GGGGAUGUAGCUCAGUGGUAGAGCACCUGCCUAGAAUGUGCAAGGACCUGGGUUUGAUCCCUACCAUUAUCA
rnacentral:tRNA from 1 species